GAAGCUGUUCUUCACGUUAAACUCAGCUGGAUCUCUUAAGAAGCAUGGCGCCUCAAGUCUUCUGUCAGAGUGUGCGAAGUAGUCCCAUCGGCUUACUCAUUGGCAGGGUUUCUCUGCCUGCAGCCGGACCUCAAGUCGCACACCUGUGUCGCUUCCCUGAAACAGUGAUUUCAGUCAGACCUUGUGAGCGCGGUGUGCGCAAGCCUGCGAGACUGGACCUCUGCCGGCUGCUCCCGCUCCUCCUGCCUCACGCAGUUCUCUGCUCGGACCGCCCUUUCUCGGUGAGGGCGUGGAUCUCAGUCCACGCAGACUCGCGAGCGGCACAACC
rnacentral:lncRNA from 1 species